AAAUUUAAUGUGCUGCUACUUAAGUUUCACGUAUACCGAUCGUCAGACAGCCUGUCUGACGAUCGGUAUACGUGAAACUUAAGUAGCAGCACAUUAAAUUUUUUUU